rnacentral:tRNA from 1 species
AGGAUAAUAGUUAAAAAUAACACUUGAUUUGCAUUCAAAAAUUAUUAAUUUCAUAAAUUAAUUUAUCUUA